rnacentral:lncRNA from 1 species
GAAGCUGUUUGCCUUUCAGUGGGAAGAUCCGGAGUCAGGAGUCAUUACUCAGUACACUUGGACCAGGCUUCCCCAAGGGUUCAAGAACUCCCCCACCAUCUUCGGGGAGGCGUUGGCUUAAGACAUCCAGAAGUUUCCCACCAGAGACCUAGGCUACAUUUUGCUCCAGUACGUUGAUGACUUUUUGCUGGGACACCCCAUGGCAGUCGGAUGCUCCAAGGGAACGGAUGCCCUACUCCGGCGCCUGGAGGACUGUGGCUAUAAGGUGUCCAAGAGAAAAGCUCAGAUCUGCUGACAGCAGGCGGAAUUCUCCACGAGUUUUGAGCAGCCUCGGGUUUCC